UCCGGUUUGACACCGGCAGUCCCGCUAGAGUGCUCGCCAUGACGCGGUCGCAACUAGAGGCAGGGGUUUCGCUCGUUAAGGGACUUAACCCGACACUUCACAGCACGAGCUGACGACAGCCAUGCACCACCUGUGACCGCGCCCCGAAGGGAGGGUGUGUUUCCACACCUGUCACGGACAUGUCAAGCCCAGGUAAGGUUCUUCGCGUUGCGUCGAAUUAAACCACAUGCUCCGCUGCUUGUGCGGGCCCCCGUCAAUUCCUUUGAGUUUUAGCCUUGCGGCCGUACUCCCCAGGCGGGGCACUUAAUGCGUUAGCUACGGCGCCGGGGGAGUCGACACCCCCCACACCUAGUGUUCAUCGUUUACGGCUAGGACUAC
rnacentral:misc_RNA from 1 species